AGCCCGGUGGUGUAGGUUGAUAUAUCUAUAAUAUAUCGAGCCCAAUGGCCAAGCAUCUGGGGCCUUGAACCCCGUGACCACGGUUCGAAUCCGUGCCGGGCUA
rnacentral:tRNA from 1 species